AUGCUUGCUGUCGACGAGCCCCGCCGAGUUCCAUCUCCGGGCGCGGGACCUCCCAGGUCCCGCGGAAGCGCGCCGGCCACCUGCCGCCACCGGGAACGACGACGAUGCGGCACGAGGCAGGCUCGCCGCGCCCUCUCCCGGGGGCGCUGCGAGCGGCACGACGGCGACGAGCGCAAUGGCGCAGAGGAGAGCGCAGAGGAGGAGCACCAGCACCCGCGCAGGAGCACUCCAUCCUCCGGCGCAUCGGGCUGUUGCCAUGCAAGAACCGGACAGCAAGAGCAGCUCAGCUCGCCGCGCCUUCCUUCCUUUGCCGCCGGAUCUCACAAGCCACCGGCCUCACCGGCGCCCAUGAACGCUGCGCAGACAGUGCGGCGAGCCAGAGCAGUCGCUGGUCAGUGGUCACUGCUGGUGCUCGGCGAUUCAGCUUGUGGAUGA
rnacentral:rRNA from 1 species